UGGAUAAUUGGAAAGUCCCUGUGUGUCAACCUCUGUGCUUCGUGGCAAGGUAGACUAGCAAACAUGCCCAACCUUUACUCACAUUCGAGAAAACACUCCCAAUAAGAUUGCUUGCUCCAAAAUCGAAGAGGCACCGUCCUCCGAAUCUCGAGAGCCAGACUCCCAACAUGACUACUUUCUUAAAAAAUCGAAGAGAGGGUAAAGGAACAGUACCAUUGCUGGAUAAUUGGAAAGUCCCUGUGUCAACCUCUGUGCUUCGUGGCAAGGUAGACUAGCAAACAUGCCCAACCUUUACUCACAUUCGAGAAAACACUUCCAACAAGAUUGCUUGCUCCAAAAUCGAAGAGGCACCGCCCUCCGAAUCUCGAGAGCCAGACUCCCAACGUGAUUACUUUCUCAAAAAUCGAAGAGACACUGCUCCCCGAAUCCUCGAGAGCCAGACCCCCAGCAUGAUUGCUUUCU
rnacentral:lncRNA from 1 species